rnacentral:tRNA from 1 species
GGGCGGUUAGCUCAGUGGUAGAGCACUGUCUUCACACGGCAGGGGUCGCUGGUUCGAACCCAGCACCGCCCACCA